rnacentral:rRNA from 1 species
GACGAACGCUGGCGGCGCGCUUAACACAUGCAAGUCGAACGGAAAGGCCUGCUUUCCCUUGUGGAUUGCGGGUACUCGAGUGGCGAACGGGUGAGUAACACGUGAGUGAUCUGCCCCCAACUUGGGUAUAAGCCUGGGAAACUGGGUCUAAUUCCCGAUAGGACUGCAGGGUGGUGCCUGUGGUGGAAAACGAUUUUCUAGUGGUUGGGGAUGAGCUCGCGGCCUAUCAGCUUGUUGGUGGGGUAAUGGCCUACCAAGGCGGCGACGGGUAGCCGGCCUGAGAGGGUGGACGGCCACAUUGGGACUGAGAUACGGCCCAGACUCCUACGGGAGGCAGCAGUGGGGAAGAUUGCACAAUGGGCGGAAGCCUGAUGCAGCGACGCCGCGUGGGGGAUGACGGCCUUCGGGUUGUAAACUCCUUUCGACCGCGAGGAAGCCACCUGGUUGGAAGGGUGGUGACGGUAGUGGUAGAAGAAGCACCGGCUAACUACGU